rnacentral:rRNA from 1 species
AAAUGGACUCUCAGCAACCGGAUAU